UACAGAGGAUGCAAGCGUUAUCCGGAAUGAUUGGGCGUAAAGCGUCUGUAGGUGGCUUUUUAAGUCCGCCGUCAAAUCCCAGGGCUCAACUCUGGACAGGCGGUGGAAACUACCAAGCUGGAGUAUGGUAGGGGCAGAGGGAAUUUCCGGUGGAGCGGUGAAAUGCGUAGAGAUCGGAAGGAACGCCGGUGGCGAAAGCGGUCGACUGGGCCUCUUCUGACGCUGAGGCGCGAAAGCCAGGGGAGCGAACGGG
rnacentral:rRNA from 1 species